UUUACUCACAGCCGCUCAGCUCUCCCCAUCUUCUCCUCUCUUCCACGCUCAUUUGCAAUCUCCCCUGAAGGUGCCAUCGCCACCGUUCGGCCACCAUAUCUUGGUGGCCAUUCCUCUUUUGAUCACAGCCCUUUAUCACUCGUUAUCUCUCUCUACUUCCUCUCACACAUGACCACCGGCUGGAACACCCAAGAUCCCCACUGUAAAGUAGCGUUAAUCUCCCCUAAUCGUUACCCAAGUUGGUCGAACAUGCCUAGACCUAGUCAACAAACCAUUUUUUUACUCCAAUGGUCUUGACUCCAACGAGAAUCACCAACAAAGUAUAAAUUCAAACGAUUAGGAGACAAAAUGAGAUGAACUGCAACUAAGGUUUCGCGUGAGUUGAAGAUGGCAUGAUUGUCGGCAACAGCUAAACGGGUCAAUUCUGGAUCCGGGUCACACUUGGACUGCUCUUGGACUCCGGGUUUUAAUUUCUUCAAGCAUGUUGUAAUUGGUCUUUGUAGUUUGGGCUU